rnacentral:misc_RNA from 1 species
UGAUGGAUAUGAUAAUUUCUACCAGAGCAAACCUGAUAAGAAAACUGUUGGUCAUGAUGGGAAAUCAGAUGGCUCAUGGACUGGAGGAGGCUUUCUUUAAGGUUGGCCUGCGCUUCAUUCUCUGCAAAACCCUGGUUGACGCCCAGGGUUUUGUUAUUUUUUUUUUUUUUGGGAGGGGCGGCGCCGUGGGGGUGGAAGGGGGGAAUUGCUAAAACUGAUGGAUAGCUGGUUGCAGUGAUUUUGGGUUGGUGGAUUUGAAUUUACUCU